rnacentral:pre_miRNA from 13 species
GACGGCCAACACAUCAAUCAGCCAGAGGUGCAGUGCUGCAUCUCUGGUUAGUUGUGAGUCUGAGAUGAAGCACUGUAGCUCUGGAGGAUGAACACUGCAUCAAU